AUCUAAAUAAAAAGUUUUAAACAGAUAUGUCUUAUUAAUGUUCUUCUUGAAUUUAGUGUAGCAUGUCUGUCUGAGAUCAAUGGGGAGUGAGUUCCAAACCUUUGAUCCGUGCACAGAAAUUGCCCGCAGACCGUAGCUUGUGAGGAAGUUAUAGUUCUAACAUGUGUUGCCUAUAGGUAAAUCCGGCCCUGGUAUAAUACUAAGUUUAAUUUGAUGUAGGCCCCCCAACCUAAGACAAAGGUAACGGUAGUCGCGAGAUUGUACUUUAAAUCCUAAUUAUUUCAAAUAAAAGUGUCUCCAGGGCUACUAACUCUGAUCAAACUUCAAUUUUGUAUUGUUUAUAUUUCUCUCUUUUGGAUGACGAGUUUGCCGACCACUGAUCAAAACACAGAUCUCUUCUUUGUAAUAUAAAAAGGGAACAUCAUACAAAUUGCUAGAAAUUAUUACCUCUGAGAAGCAGACAGUAAAUAAAAAUGCUAAAAAAAUUGGUGUAUCAAUAAUUCUUUAAGGCAAGUAGUCAUUGACAAAGGUAGAAUUUAACAAUUUUGAAUUUAAUGUCAUUGUCAUAAAAUUUUCCUAAUAACCAAGGGCAAGCUAUUAAACCACUGAUUUAGCAAAGCAAAUAUCUAUCAUGAAGAUGUAGACCAGCAUGAUGAAGAUGUAGACCAGCAUGAUGAAGAUGUAGACCAGCAUGAUGAAGAUGUAGACCAACAUGACGAAAAGGUAGACAUGUACAUGUAGACCAACAUGAAGAUGUAGACCAACAUGAAGAUGUAGACCAACAUGAAGAUGUAGACCAACAUGAAGAUGUAGACCUACAUGAAGAUGUAGACCAACAUGAAGAUGUAGAUCAACAUGAAGAUGUAGACCAACAUGAAGAUGUAGACCAACAUGAAGAUGUAGACCAACAUGAAGAUGUAGAUCAACAUGAAGAUGUAGACCAACAUGAAGAUGUAGACCUACAUGAAGAUGUAGAUCAACAUGAAGAUGUAGACCAACAUGAAGAUGUAGACCAACAUGAAGAUGUAGACCAACAUGAUGAAAAGGUAGACAUGUACAUGUAGACCAGCAUGAAGAUGUAGACCAACA